AGAUUCUCUGUCCCUUCUUCCACAUGCUUUGUAGCCCCUGACCUUACUAACCUGCCCCCUUAUCUGGCUGCCCUCUCUAUAUCCCCGGGCUUUCUGUGGUGCCCUCUCAGAUGCAUGUGUUUGGGGAGCAUAUGUAUUGUCCCCACAAAUCACUUUCUGCGCUCCAAGAGGGGCUAGUUGUUGUCCAGGACCAGGGCAAGUCUUGGCUAUGGCAAACCAUCUCCUGUCUUUGGUCUCCCAGAAGUCCCUAGGAAAAAUUGUUUUGGUCUCUGCCCCCUACCUAAGAGUUGGUGAACGCAAGGGAGCCCGGCAAAGCAAGCAGACUGCGGAAAGAGCUUGGCCACCCUUCUCCUGCCACCCCCCAGCUCUGGCCUACCCAGAGGUCCCUGGGAAAUAAGGAUUGGGUCCCGUCCCACAUAUCUUCACUCCCAUAAGCAGCUGCUCAGGCUGGAAGGCCCUGGCGGCCGGAGAGGGCAGAGGCGAGCAGAGGCAUAGGGGACGAAGCGCGCAGGGCACAGGGCGCGAGGCGCUGGGUGCAGGGGAACCCAGCAGCU
rnacentral:lncRNA from 1 species